rnacentral:pre_miRNA from 14 species
GCCCGCACGGGAAAAUGAAUUUUUCCGUGCAGGCGUCUUAAGAGAACCACACGGGAUAAUCCGCAUUAUCCCGUGCGGGC